CUAUAAGGGGGAUACCACAUGGGAAUGUAUAUGGGUAUUUAAUCUAAAACUUGCUGGGAAGUAUUUUAGGAUUCUUUUUUUCUGAAUACCAUAUAUAUAUAUAUAUAUAUGAAUUGUAUUUGAAUUAUGCUGUUAUAAACUCUUUCUUUGGAGGAUUAAAAAUAGGGGAAUGGAAAUGAAUUAAAAUAUAUAGAUAAACUUUGGCAAAGUGGAAAGGAAGAAAAAAUAUGAUUAUUAAUGAUUAUAAGUAAAGUGAAGAUAAAAUGAAACAUAUUAAGAAGUUAUUUUAGCAAUUUACUGGGGGGAUACUUUAAAAUAUAUACAUUUUAAAAUAUACAAUUGAUUAUUUAAUGGAUAUUAGAAGUGUACAAUGAGAGUAUUUUAUUAUGAUUAAAGUAGGGGAAUGGAAAAUACCAUGUGGAUCCUAAAUAUAUUGACUUUAUUUUACUUUUACUCUUUUUAGAUUGUUUAUUAUACAUUGGCUUAGAGAAAAUUAAGGAUAGUAAUGAUGUGUAAUGUACGUAAAUUAAAAUAGCUGGUAAGCUGAAAAUGGAAAUAAUAGGGGAUAAGGAAUUGAAAACCUAUGUGUGAAUGAAAUGAAAUUGAUAUUGAAUUAAUGAAUUGAAAUAUGAAAUGCAAAUUUAUUUAAAGA